UACUAUUCAAGCAGUACAUUGGCCUAUUCCUCACCCUUCUGCUCUAUGGCCUCCCAGUCUCAUAGCUACAGAGCUGCCCUCCUUCUGUCUAUCCUGGCUCACCGCUUUUUGGUUUGAUCUGAAAUGUGGGAGUACCUCCAGCUGCUGUGCUAUUUUCACCAGCAUUUCCUAACCCCGGUGCUUCCCAGGGCUGUCAUAUCUCUCGUCUUCUCAUGCAGCUGCUUGUUGCAUCAUGCUCUUUUCUUCCUCCAGUAGGUGACUCCUCUUCACUUUUCACUCUUGUAGCCCCGGUCUUUCCUUUUUGGGCACACUCACAACAGGGAGUUACAGUAUGUUCCAGGGAUCAUAAGGACCGGAUAUCCUUUGCACCUCGGCCUGGAUGCUGCAUUGUACUCCAUGCAGCUGGACCUUUUGCAAAGUUGAACCAGCUACACACCAGCUUCUGGGAAAUGCAGAUUGGCUCCGGGUAGGGAAAGUGUUUAAAAUGCAAAAGAGAAGUGACAAGAGAUUUUAAAAGGAAUGUCUGUUUUUUUAGCAUCUGCUGGUUUGAGACUUUGUGGCAGGGAAAGUGGGUGGAAGGAGCCUUCUGUUUCAAAACCUCCACAGCAGUGUGAACAUAAUCAACCUCAGCUUAGACACUGAAGGGCUGACUUUGCUGCUUCAGAGAAUUUGGCCCUGGAUCUUAGAGAAAAUUGAAGGGAAAGCAACAACAACAACAAGCUUGCAGCAGAUUAUCAAGAUUGAUGUAAUAUCAGCGUUGGAACUAACUGCCAGGGCAUGAGAAGUGGAAUUAUAUUUGAAGCAGAAUAUCUUGGGGCCCCACUGCUUGGAUACAACCGGUUCAGUUUCCUUCUCCGCACUAGGCAGCAGCCGGAAUGUGACCUUAGUAAUAUGUACAGCACAGAAACAAGGACCAAAUCCCUUUUUAACCACCAUCAAAAGGAGAGCCUAAAUGAGUUUGCAGGGAAUAGCAGCAGCAGAUGUUCAUUCGAACCACUGUGUCAACAUCUAAAAAUCAGUAUGACAGCUCAUCAGAUGCCACUGAAGGAAAAGAAGGAGCCUGUGAUAAGCUAUUACAGUGUUUACCUGAACAGAUUUUGCUUUGUGCCCUAAAUCCUUGUUAGCUCGUUUCAUGGUACAAAGAAAGAAACUCCAAAUCUGUUCUGUUAAAGUGUGUGAAUAAUGGACAUGAGUAAAGUGUCAUAGACUGAUGACCUCCUGAACUGGUCAAUGAAGCAGUAGUAAUUAUUAUGGCACAUAAAAGCUAUAAGGAGUCAGACUGAAAGACAAAUGCCUA
rnacentral:lncRNA from 1 species